rnacentral:misc_RNA from 1 species
GAAAUGCGAUAAGUAAUGUGAAUUGCAGAAUUCAGUGAAUCAUCGAAUCUUUGAACGCACAUUGCGCCCGCCAGUAUUCUGGCGGGCAUGCCUGUCCGAGCGUCAUUUCAACCAUCAAGCCCCCGGGCUUGUGUUGGGGACCUGCGGCUGCCCGCAGGCCCUGAAAACCAGUGGCGGGCUCGCUGUCACACCGAGCGUAGUAGCAAUCACCUCGCUCAGGGCGUGCUGCGGGUUCCGGCCGUUAAACAGCCUUACAAAACCCAAGGUUGACCUCGGAUCAGGUAGGAAGACCCGCUGAACUUAAGCA